GCUGGCGGCAUGCCUAACACAUGCAAGUCGAACGAGAUCUUCGGAUCUAGUGGCGCACGGGUGAGUAACGCGUGGGAACCUACCUUUUAGUACGGGACAACGUUUGGAAACGAACGCUAAUACCGUAUACGCCCUCCGGGGGAAAGGUCAGCCGCUAAAAGAGGGGCCCGCGUCUGAUUAGCUUGUUGGUAAGGUAAUGGCUUACCAAGGCUACGAUCAGUAGCUGGUCUGAGAGGAUGAUCAGCCACACUGGGACUGAGACACGGCCCAGACUCCUACGGGAGGCAGCAGUGGGGAAUAUUGGACAAUGGAGGCAACUCUGAUCCAGCAAUGCCGCGUGUGUGAUGAAGGCCCUAGGGUUGUAAAGCACUUUCAACGGUGAAGAUGAUGACGGUAGCCGUAGAAGAAGCCCCGGCUAACUUCGUGCCAGCAGCCGCGGUAAUACGAAGGGGGCGAGCGUUAUUCGGAAUUAUUGGGCGUAAAGGGCUCGCAGGCUGCUUGAACAGUUAGACGUGAAAUCCCCGGGCUUAACCUGGGAACUGCGUUUAAUACUAGCAAGCUAGAGAAAUAGAGAGGAAAGUGGAACUCCCAGUGUAGAGGUGAAAUUCGUAGAUAUUGGGAAGAACACCAGUGGCGAAAGCGACUUUCUGGCUAUUUUCUGAC
rnacentral:rRNA from 1 species